AGAUAUUGCAAAAAGCCGGGCCAUACUACUGAAAAGUUCUACAAGUUAAUUGGAUAUCCUAAUAAUCCUCAACCUAAUAGAUUCAGAAAAACUGCAGCUUAUACACAUGUUUCAGAGUCUUAGAACAUGGGCCAAGAAGAGAACUUUGUUGGUGACAAUCGAGUUGAACAGCCUGAGUCCAAGAAUCAUGGUUUCACAAAGGAACAAUACGACCAUUUGCUAAAUCUGUUUCAAUAGACCAAGGUGACUACACAGGAUAACACUAUUUCUGGAUCUGCUAAUUUUGCAGGUUUGUUUCACUGUCUUGAUGUUAGAAAUUAUUGUGUCUUUGCUUGCAAUUUGUCUAAAUUAUAUGGUGAUCCUUGGAUAAUAGACUCUUGUGCAACUAAUCAUAUGACGCCUCAGAAAUCUCUGUUAAUCAAGAUGGUGAUCCUUUGAUAAUAGACUCUGGUGCAACUAAUCAUAUGACACCUCAGAAAUCUCUGUUAAUCAAUCUUAAACCUUUAAUCAUUCCUUACUUUGUAAUUCUUCCUAAUGGUUAUAGAGUCAAAGUGACUUGUUCAGGCUCUCUUCCUUUGUUUAAUGGUCUAGUUUUACAAAAUGUUUUACUUGUUCCCUCUUUCAAAUACAAUUUGAUUUCCUUGCGUCAACUUUUAUUGAAACUCUAUUGUAAUGCUCUUUUCUCCCCUUAUGAUUGUGUUUUACAGGGCCCUUCUCUGAAGAGGCCACUGGUUCUUAGUAAAAUCUCUAAUGGACUGUACAUAUUCCAGAGUGACUCUCCUUCAUCAUCUUAUAUUCCUGAUCUUUCAACUGGUGAUACUAGUUCUAAUGUUUAUGUUAAUUCUGGUUGUGUUCCAUCUGUUUCUUCUUCCAUACACACUAUAAAUAUCAUUGAAGCAAAUAAAACUGUUAACAGUUGUGUGCAUCCUAUUUCUCCUGCUUUCUAUUUUGAUAUGUUUUGGCACCUUACACUUGGUCACAUGCCUUUUUCUAAAAUGAAAUCUAUUUCCUACAUUAAUGACAAACUAUCUAAGAAACAGUCCUUUAUUUGUGAUGUUUGUCCCAUGGCUAGGCAGCGAAGACUUUCUUUCCCCGAUAGCUCCAUUAAAUCUACCACCCCCUUUCAACUUGUACAUGUAGAUUUGUGGGGACCUUACCAUACUCAAACUUACAAUGGAUUUAGAUUUUUUUUAACUAUAGUAGAUGAUUUUUCCAGGGCUACUUGGACUCAUUUGCUUUCCACCAAAUCCAAUGCUUUUGCUCUACUGAAGUCAUUCAUAUUCUUUGUGCAUAACCAAUUCAAUUCUUCUGUCAAAACACUUCGAUCUGAUAAUGCAUUUGAACUAGGUUCAAGUGCUGAAGCUGUUUCUUUCUUUUCAUCUCAAGGUAUUAUACACCAAACUUCAUGUUCACAUACUCUUCAACAAAAUGGAGUAGUGGAG
rnacentral:lncRNA from 1 species